rnacentral:rRNA from 1 species
GACGAACGCUGGCGGCGUGCUUAACACAUGCAAGUCGAACGGAAAGGCCCUGCUUUUGUGGGGUGCUCGAGUGGCGAACGGGUGAGUAACACGUGAGUAACCUGCCCUUGACUUUGGGAUAACUUCAGGAAACUGGGGCUAAUACCGGUUAGGAGCUCCUGCUGCAUGGUGGGGGUUGGAACGUUUCGGCGGUUGGGGAUGGACUCGCGGCUUAUCAGCUUGUUGGUGGGGUAGUGGCUUACCAAGGCUUUGACGGGUAGCCGGCCUGAGAGGGUGACCGGCCACAUUGGGACUGCGAGACGGCCCAGACUCCUACGGGAGGCAGCAGUGGGGAAUAUUGCACAAUGGGCGGAAGCCUGAUGCAGCAACGCCGCGUGCGGGAUGACGGCCUUCGGGUUGUAAACCGCUUUCGCCUGUGACGAAGCGUGAGUGACGGUAAUGGGUAAAGAAGCACCGGCUAACUACGUG